rnacentral:tRNA from 1 species
GAAAGUGUGGCUCAGUGGUUGAACAUCUGCUUGGCAUGUAGAAGGUCCAGGUUCAGUCCCCAGUAUCUUCA